CCUACGGGAGGCAGCAGUGGGGAAUAUUGGGCAAUGGGCGCAAGCCUGACCCAGCAACGCCGCGUGAAGGAAGAAGGCUUUCGGGUUGUAAACUUCUUUUCUCAGGGACGAAGCAAGUGACGGUACCUGAGGAAUAAGCCACGGCUAACUACGUGCCAGCAGCCGCGGUAAUACGUAGGUGGCAAGCGUUAUCCGGAUUUACUUGUGGUAAAGGGGGGGUAGGCGGGACGGCAAGUCAGAUGUGAAAACCACGGGCUCAACCUGUGGCCUGCAUUUGAUACUGUAGUUCUUGAGUACUGGGGAGGCAGACGGAAUUCCUAGUGUAGCGGUGAAAUGCGUAGAUAUUAGGAGGAACACCAGUGGCGAAGGCGGUCUGCUGGACAGCAACUGACGCUGAGGCGCGAAAGCGUGGGGAGCAAACAGGAUUAGAUACCCGAGUAGUC
rnacentral:rRNA from 1 species